rnacentral:lncRNA from 1 species
UCCUUCUUUCAAUGAUCCUUGAAUUUGCACAAAAGGAUUGUGAAAUAUAUCUGACGAAGGUUCAUUUGCACCCAAAUUCAAACUUAUCAUGUGUUGAGAUGGACAAUGUACAUGACUAGUUGGUAAUGGCUCUUGCCGGUGGUCGACAGUUUCAUCAUUCACCAUUUCAUCAACCAAUAACUCGUCUUCUUCUUCUUCCUCGUCAAUAACGUUGAC